rnacentral:misc_RNA from 1 species
UUUUUUUUUUUUUUUUCCUUUCUUAAAUUUUAACUGAGCAGUUAUUUAUUUCCUUCUUUCUUUUCCUCUGGUGAAUGCAUCUGUAGAAUCUUAUUUCCACGCCAGAGAAUCUUAUGUUUUGAAUAUCUUCAAACAGAUGAUCAUGAUACUCACGAUGCUGUGAUCAAUUAAUAUUCCACCACAUGCACAAGCUCUUAUUUCAUAAAUGACAUGAGCUAAAAUGGUUAUUAUCACAGGCUCGAUGAAGAAGUUAGCAGG